UAGGCACUAAUUAUGUAAAUAUAUUUUUUAGCAAGAGAAACACGUUUUUGUGGAUUUAUUAAUCCUAGGAAAAGAGAAGAAAAAGCCAUUAUAGGGGGAAAAUAACGAGAAAAAGAGAGAGCGACCAGGAGAAGAUAUUGAAAAAGCACUGAAGCUCAAGCACAGAUUUACUAGGUCAGAAGGAAACUACUUGCUCAAAAGGAGACCAGAGGAAUGAAAAUGUGGUAUAACCAGGAGUUGCGAAGUGGUCGUAGUUGUUCAUGUCUCAAUCUGGAUCAUCUUUGCUUUUUGCUUCUGCUUUGUGCUAUCCCUCUUCCCGUACCUCAGUUCUAUCUGGAACCAUGAUCUGUGACUGCCAUGGAAAAGUGUUGGGCAGGAGGAGGCCAGCUGGGUCUUUGAAGUUGACAAUGGAGCCAGGAAUGAAAGCUGCACUUAGGAUGAGAAUUGCUUUCCCUGGAGCCAAGUCAGCAAAUGCAGUCUGGUUGUCAGAGCUGAGAGGCUUCACCAAGUCAAGUAGGGGAGGACAUCUUCACUCUGCAACUUGCCCUACUGAAUGCAGAAAGUACUGUCUACUUAGAUAAAGCCUACACUAAAAGGGAAUUGAAUCUCUGCAAAUAAGUAUGUGGAUCUAAUUUCUACCUUCCAGAUUAAAAGUAUAAUUAAAAAUGAAAACCUUUGUAGGACUAAAUUGAUUUUGCAGACAAAUCUCACUUCUUAGCUUGAGCUGACUUAUUCCCAAUCUUAAACCCUAAUUAAUAACAUACAAGAAUGAGU
rnacentral:lncRNA from 1 species